GUGAGGAAUAUUGGUCAAUGGGCGGGAGCCUGAACCAGCCAAGUCGCGUGAAGGACGAAGGAUCUAUGGUUCGUAAACUUCUUUUGCAGGGGAAUAAAGUGCGGGACGUGUCCUGUUUUGUAUGUACCCUGAGAAUAAGGAUCGGCUAACUCCGUGCCAGCAGCCGCUGUAAUACGGAGGAUCCGAGCGUUAUCCGGAUUUAUUGGGUUUAAAGGGUGUGUAGGUGGUUUGAUAAGUCAGCGGGGAAAGUUUGCAGCUUAACUGUAAAAAUGCCGUUGAAACUGUCGGACUUGAGUGUAAAUGAGGUAGGCGGAAUGCGUGGUGUAGCGGUGAAAUGCAUAGAUAUCACGCAGAACUCCGAUUGCGAAGGCAGCUUACUAAGCUACAACUGACACUGAAGCACGAAAGCGUGAGAAUCAAACAGGAUUAGAUACCCGAGUAGUCC
rnacentral:rRNA from 1 species